rnacentral:rRNA from 14 species
UUAACAGGGCGAUCAGUCAGCAGUACUAGACGCGAAACUUUGUGAUCUACCCAUGACCAGGGUGAAGUGUAGGUAACACUACAUGGAGGCCCGAACCAGUUGACGUUGAAAAGUCUUUGGAUGAGUUGUGGGUAGGGGUGAAAGGCCAAUCAAACUGAGAGAUAGCUCGUACUCCCCGAAAUGCUUUUAGGAGCAGCGUGGAAGUUAGUUUAUCAGAGGUAGAGCUACCGAUUGGACUAGGGGGAGUCAAAUCCUACCAAAUCCAGACGAACUCCGAAUGCUGAUAAAUAUAUUCCGCAGUGAGGGCUUGGGUGCUAAGGUCCAAGUCCGAGAGGGAAAGAACCCAGACCUACAGCUAAGGUCCCUAAAUUUGUACUAAGUUGAACUAAGGAGGUUCAGCUGCUUAGACAGCCAGGAUGUUGGCUUGGAAGCAGCCAUUCAUUUAAAGAGUGCGUAACAGCUCACUGGUCGAGCGGCAGAGCAUCGAUAAUAAUCGGGCAUCAAGUACAAUACCGAAGCUUAGGAUCAUUUAUGAUGGUAGGGGAGCAUUCUCUAAACAAUGAAGGUGUGGCGUGAGCCGUGCUGGAGACUAGAGAAGAGCAAAUGUAGGCAUAAGUAACGAUAAGGCAGGCGAGAAACCUGCCCACCGAUAGACUAAGGUUUCCCCGGCAAUGCUAAUCAGCCGGGGGUUAGUCAGGACCUAAGGCGAACCCGAAAGGGGUAGUCGAUGGACAACUGGUUAAUAUUCCAGUACCACCUUUAUUUUCGAUGGGGUGACGGAGUAGUGAAAGUACCGCGUACUGACGGAAUAGUACGUUGAAGGGUGUAGGUAUAGGAUGUGUAGGUAAAUCCGCACGUCU